UACGAGGGGGGCAAAUGUUGUUCGGAAUCACUGGGCGUAAAGGGAGCGUAGGCGGGCUUCUAAGUUAGAUGUUUAAUCCCGGGGCCCAACCCCGGACAGGCACCUAAAACUGGAAGUCUUGAAUAGUGGAGAGGACGGCGGAAUUGGGGGUGUAGCGGUGGAAUGCGUAGAGAUCUGGAGGAACACCGGUGGCGAAGGCGGCGUUCUGGACUGCAACUGACACUGAGGAACGAAAGCCAGGGGAGCAAACGGG
rnacentral:rRNA from 1 species